AUUCCAUGAUGGGGACAAUCCAGGAUGUACUCCUGCAGACUUUCCCAAGCUUCUGGGAUGGAUUCCAUCCCUGUAUGCUAAAAACUUGAAAUCUUCCUGUGCAGAGC